rnacentral:rRNA from 1 species
GAUGAACGCUGGCGGCGUGCCUAAUACAUGCAAGUCGAGCGAACAGACGAGGAGCUUGCUCCUUUGACGUUAGCGGCGGACGGGUGAGUAACACGUAGGUAACCUACCUAUAAGACUGGGAUAACUUCGGGAAACCGGAGCUAAUACCGGAUAAUAUUUCGAACCGCAUGGUUCGAUAGUGAAAGAUGGCUUUGCUAUCACUUAUAGAUGGACCUGCGCCGUAUUAGCUAGUUGGUAAGGUAACGGCUUACCAAGGCAACGAUACGUAGCCGACCUGAGAGGGUGAUCGGCCAAACUGGAAACGAGACAAGGUCCAGACUCCUAAGGGAGGGAGCAGUAGGGAAUCCUCCGCAAUGGGCGAAAGCCUGACGGAGCAAAGGCGCGGGAGUGAAGAAGGUCUUCGGAUCGGAAAAAUCUGUUAAUAGGGAAGAACAAACGUGGAAGUAACUGUGCACGUCUUGAAGGUACCUAAUCAGAAAGCCACGGCUAACUACGUG